rnacentral:rRNA from 1 species
CANCGGCGGCUCGAGUGGUAACCGUUAUUAUUGGGUCUAAAGGGUCUGUAGCCGGCCGGAUAAGUCUCUUGAGAAAUCUGGCAGCUUAACUGUCAGGCUUUCAGGAGAUACUGUCUGGCUCGAGGCCGGGAGAGGUGAGAGGUACUUCAGGGGUAGGGGUGAAAUCUUGUAAUCCUUGAAGGACCACCAGGGGCGAAGGCGUCUCACCAGAACGGACCUGACGGCAAGGGACGAAAGCUAGGGGCACGAACCGG